GAUGAACGCUGGCGGCGCGCCUAACACAUGCAAGUCGAACGAUUAAAGCACCUUCGGGUGUGUAUAAAGUGGCGAACGGCUGAGUAACACGUGGGCAACCUGCCCCUUUCAUUGGGAUAGCCACGGGAAACCGUGGAUAAUACCGAAUACUUCGAGACUUCCGCAUGGAAGACUCGAGAAAGCUCCGGCGGAGAGGGAUGGGCCCGCGGCCUGUUAGCUUGUUGGUGGGGUAACGGCCUACCAAGGCAAUGAUGGGUAGCUGGGUUGAGAGACCGACCAGCCAGAUUGGGACUGAGACACGGCCCAGACUCCUACGGGAGGCAGCAGUGGGGAAUCUUGCACAAUGGGCGAAAGCCUGAUGCAGCGACGCCGCGUGCGGGAUGAAGGCCUUCGGGUUGUAAACCGCUUUCAGCAGGGACGAGGCGAAAGUGACGGUACCUGCAGAAGAAGCCCCGGCUAACUACGUGCCAGCAGCCGCGGUAAUACGUAGGGGGCAAGCGUUAUCCCGGAUUCAUUUGGGCGUAAAGCGCUCGUAGGCGGUCUGUUAGGUCGGGAGUUAAAUCCGGGGGCUCAACCCCC
rnacentral:rRNA from 1 species